CACUCGAGCCAACGUCGUCUCCAGGCGCUGCUUGGCGUCCGGCAGAUCCUCCAGGUGAGUUCCAAGGACCACCCGCAAAACCGCCAUUACCACCGAAUCUUCGAGUUGGAAAGUCUGGUUGGAAUGGUUGGAACCCACCGAAGGCUGAAA
ensembl:ncRNA K09H11.14 ncRNA